UACGUAGGGUGCAAGCGUUGUCCGGAAUUAUUGGGCGUAAAGAGCUCGUAGGCGGUUCGUCACGUCGGCUGUGAAAUCCCGAGGCUCAACCUCGGGUCUGCAGUCGAUACGGGCGGACUGGAGCACUGCAGGGGAGACUGGAAUUCCUGGUGUAGCGGUGAAAUGCGCAGAUAUCAGGAGGAACACCGGUGGCGAAGGCGGGUCUCUGGGCAGUAACUGACGCUGAGGAGCGAAAGCGUGGGGAGCGAACAGG
rnacentral:rRNA from 1 species